UUUUUUUUUUUUUUUUUGCUUUUUUAGGACCGCACCUGUGGCAGAUGGAGGUUCCCAGACUAGGGGUUGAAUUGGAGCUGUAGCCACUGGCCUAUGCUACAGCCAUAGCAAUGCCAGAUCUGAGCCAAGCCGUGUCUGUGACCUACAUCACAGGUCAUGGCAAUGCUGUAUUCUUAACCCACUGAGGGAGGCCAAGAAUUGAACCUGCAACCUCAUGGUUCCUAAUCGGAUUUGUUUCCACUGUGCCAUGACGGGAACUUCUAAAUUUACAUUUUUACUGAAAGAUAAUAUACAUGCAAAAAAGAAAAGGGAAAGCUUAGUGACUUUUCACGAAGUGCAUUUACCCUGAGUAAUCUACAUCCAGAUCAAGAAACAACAUCACCAGCAUCCUCUGAUGCACCAAAGGAUAAUUGCCUUUCUUUUUCUGUGUAUGUCUUUUUGCCUUUCUUUUAGGGCUACGCUGGCCUGAGAACUUUCAUAUGCUGUGGGUGUGGCCAUUAAAAAAAAAAAAAAUCAGGACUUCCGGUUGUGGCUCAGUGGUAAUGCCUCGUAUCCAUGAGGAUGUAGGUUUGAUCCCUGACUUCACUCAUUGGGUUAAGGAUCCGGCAUUGCCAUGAGCUGUGGUGUAGGUCGCAGACGCAGUUUGGAUCUGGCGUUGCUGAGGCUGUGGUAUAGGCUGGCACCUGCAGCUCUGAUUUGACCCCUAGCCUGGAAACUUCCAUAUGCUGUGGGUGUGACCCUAAAAAGAAAAAAAAAAUCGUGUGUGUGCUUGUGUGUGUGUGUGCUUGUGUGUGUGUAUCUAUCUGUCUUUGGAAGCCACAGUGGAUCUAAGAAAGUCUCCUCCUCGCAUGUGUCUCGACUGUUCCACUGAUACUUCGUCCUCCCUUCCAGCCAUCCGAAACAACCCUGUUCUGGACAUCAGUCCUUCAAACAGUUUCUCAUACCUGAUUUCUCUGCCCUGCACCUCUAGGGUUACAUUUCUCUGAAAAUGCCCAUUUCUUCUGUGUCUGAAAAUAUGGUACAGAGAGGGCCCAGUAGCAUGUCGGAAGGGGUUGGAGAGAACAGUGAGUGCCUUUUCUACCUUCUCAGAGAGUGCCCUUCUUUGCUCUGUCCACCUGAGCAUGUCCGCUGUCUUGGAUGAUGCAGUUGUUUUAGUUCCUGCCAAACUCGCGACAACUAAACCCUAAGUCUUUUGGUCCAGGCUGCAUCUGGCCCAGGUCCCCUGCUGUGCCUUGGUGUUCUUGCUGUUUUGGACUUGGUGCUGGGCCUCUCAUUAUCCCUGUUGUCUAGCUCCUAGAUCCAGCUUCUGCACCCAGUCAAGAGCCAGUGACCUCAUGCCCCUGGGAGCACAUCUGCCCUCUUCACUGUGAGGGAGCUUGGAGAGGAGUGAGGGCCCCACAGUCUAGCCCUCUUGGCCCUUGGGAGGACCAGCCACUUCCUCUCUUCCUCCCUUGAGAAGUGAGCCUCCUUCACCCCAGGCAGUACUAAGGGUGCCCUCCACCACAUGGGCUCUGUGGGCUUCGGGGGCUGCCAUCAGGCCUGGCCCCAGAGCCACACCACAGCUGUCACACCUUGCGGAGGUACCUAUAGGCCCCUGCCUUUGGGCCCAGCCACAGCCUCCUUCCCUAGCUUUGUCACCUGAUCCAGGAGCCAGGACAUGGCCAGCUUCAUUGGCAGUGAGAGGUGAAGCAAGAGGCCACAGCCAGUCAGGUGACUAAAGUUCAUGUCUGUGCCCAACCUUCAUUUGUUUCCAAAUCCAGCCACAGACAUGAGACCCUCUCUCUUGGCUUUGAGGCCUCCAUGGAAGGGUUUAUUUAUGGUUUUAACCAGGACCUUUAUAGCCCAGUCCUGAGAAGAUUAUCUUUUUAUUACAACUUUGAUUAAUGAUUGAUCAAAAAGUGAUACUAGAAACACUGAAGAACAAAUUUGCCCUAGAGAUUAGCAAAGGUCUACAUCUGCCAGGCUUGGGGACCUGACCACCUGCUCUCUCCAGGGUUAAACCAGGACAAGGGUACAUUGGAAGACCCAACCCACUUCCUCUCUCUAUCUCUCUUUCUCUGUCUCUCUCUCUCUUACACACACACACACACACACAGGAAAAAUACAGAUGUAAAUAUCCUUAAAUACUUUUGAAAUUAGAUAGGCUCUAAAUUGCAAAUGAGCAGGGACAGAGCAAAAGGACCCUAGGGGCUCUUAAUAGAAAUUUUCUUUUUUUUUUUGUUUCUAUUAAUACCUAAUACAAAUUUUAAGGGCCCAAUUCUACUGCCUCAGAGGCUGGAGAGCCAGGAAUCUGCAUAUUAACAACCUCCUCCCAAGUUUCAGCCAGUCCCCACCCUCUGUGAGCCCCAGGAAGCAGGGUACUGGCUGGAAUGCUUUUUUCUUGCCCCUCAUCCUCUGUAGUGCCCUGCGGCAUGGGGAGUGGAGAGCUGGCAGAGCAGUUUGUAAAUGGAAACUGGAAAAUGAAACUAGAAAUCACAGCCUCACAACCCAAAGAGUCGGGCUUUCUUUUCCACACAGAGAGUCCCUGAGGAAGAAAGUGGAGGAAGAGGGAAAAGCAUGUUUAGCAAAGGCAGCAAGGUGGAGCUGUUUUUUUUUUAAGCACCCUGGCAGUUGGCACACAAAUACAGGGUUGCCACAGCCGUCUUCAGGGCAGGAGGUGCCAGCAAAGAUGCACAGUGCUGCACCAGCUUCCCCCAGCCUGGCCAUCUACUGUCAGCCCUGGAGGGCUUCCUCUCCAGCAAAAGCUAAUUUCACACUUUAUGUUGAAAAACUAUUUUCAGAGGUACUUUAGAAAGGGCCCUGAUUCUCCACUAAUCUGAAAAUAUUUAAUUAUUAAAAUGUUUCUUAGAAUAAGAACUAUGUCUAGUCACUUAUGAUGGAGCAUGAUAAUGGGAGAAAAAAGCAUGUAUACAUGUAUGUGUAACUGGUUCACCAUACUGUACAGUAGGGAAAAAAAUUGUAUUGGGGAAAUAACAAAAAAUUUUUGAAAAAGAAAAAAAUUUUAAAUGUUUCUUAGAAUUGAACACUUCAUGCCAGCAUUUGGUACCAGCAGCUUCUUGCCCCACUGGGCCUCUCCCACGUGCACACGAAGAACUUUGAUGAGCAAUGGAGGUGCUUGAGUUUAGCCGAGGAUCAGAGAUCAAACGCCCGAGUCUGCCUUCCCUGCUGGUCUCCCACAGCACUCAAACCUGAGUUUGUGCUCACCCAGGCGCAAACACAGAAAAGCAGCUGGCCGCAAAGGCACUGCUUGAGGCAGUUUUGAGGCUACCACAGAGCAGCUUUCAUGGAAGCAGAUUUCCUGAAGGGCCUGGAAUGCGGGGGAGAGAAGGGCUGUGGGAUAGGGGCCAAGACUGUCCCUACCUGCAACUCUGCACCUUCCUGGCUGCCCCACCCCCAAUGCCACACAGGCCUUUGAUUAAGACCUCGAAGGUGGGUGCAUCCUCUCAUAGGACACCGGGUUUUCCAGCUAUUUGUGUAGUUAUUUGCCUCCCAUCUUUGUCCCUUCCUGGAACAAAACUCUUCAGGUCCGUAUUAUUCACUGCUAUAUCCUUGAUUCUUUGAAUAGUGCCUGACACUUGAUAGGGGCAUGAAAAAGUAUAUGUUCCAUGAGUGAGGCAGCCUGAAAGUGAAGGAGGCAGUGGACAGGUAGAUGCCCCAGUGCUGCUAUCCCCAGACUCCUGCCUGUGAAAUGCUUUAACUGUCCCAGUGUGUAUAGGUGAGGGCUUAGAGGGAGAGGAGGGGGUGUGGGGUGCUUCUGUGGCUCAUCCUCCAUGGCCCUAGUUCUGUCCCCCUUACCUGACAGAUGGGCUCACAUAGCCUUUCCCAACAGGCCGAGACACUUGGCUUCUUGGGCUACCCAGAAAAGAAAGGCCACCUUUAGCCCCUGGGUCAAAAGGAAACAAGCCAGGGUUGGGGGAGGUUGUCAUAGUGAUAAAAAGGUGCAGCAAGGUAAGGAUCUGGCAUUGUCACAGCUAUGGCUCUGGUCACCACGGUGGUGUGGGUGUGACCUCUGGUGCAGCCAGAGCCAGAAAAAAAAAGGCGGGGGGAACAUAAGAAGGAUGCCAGUGGAUGGUCUUCCGGGAGGAGAUGGGAACAUGGGGAGCAGCCUUAACAUCAGGCCCCACACCUUUUAUUCUUCUCAGCCUCACUUUCUCAUCCAUUAAUGGGAUUUGUUCUUGUGUAUGUGCCUGGAAGAGAAGUAUAACAGAAGAUAAAAGGGUGGAAUUUUAAAUAUUCCAGAGUAAAAUUUCAGCUCUGCAUUUAUGGGCUAUGUGACCUUGAGCCAAUUACUGAGUCUCUCUUGCCUCAUUUUUCUUUUCUGUCAGGUGGGAACAGUGAUAGUGGAUUCUAUGAGUUAAUUCCUGUUCCUGACACCUGCCAAGGGCUCAGUUGUCAUUAGCUAUUACCUUAGCAGGGCUUGUGAGGGUCCAACGAGAUGGCAAAUGUCAGCACAGUUCCCAGACCCGAAGGCACUGUACAAAUAUGAAGAAACAGUAUUAUUUUGGAAAUAUUGAAGGCACAGCUUCCCUCCCCCAUUUGUCUGGGGUGGGGCAGCAGUUUUACUUAUUUAAUGUUAGCUUGAAGGUGUACCAAAGGAAGGUGAAAAACUGAAACCGCCAACCGUUUGAGCUGUAGGCUGCAUUGAAACAGUGUGGCCGGUGCAGAUGGUGAGGGCCUGGGCAGGCCCACUUCCUCCCUGCGUGCUACGGGUCUUCCUCAUACCAGCCGCUUCCCAAGGCUGCAGGAAGUGGGGCCAGGAACACUUCAGGGUGUGUGCAGGCAGGCUUGGGCUGAAGGUCGGCAGCUGCUAGGGUGAGAGCAGAAGCCUUCCAGGUCCUUGGUGUGUUCUGGGUGUAGCUUCUGCCCUCUCCCUGCCCUGGCCUGCCCAGGAUGGGUUCGUAGCAAACUCCCCACCGAGGCUCUUCUCUCUUGAGGUUGCAAGCCACUGCAGAGAGGGUGUCCAGCCCAAGUGGGGCAGGCUUGAGAGGAGAGUCGAUUCUUUUCUCAAAGGAAAUGCAGUUGUGGUUUUGAGACGUUCACUUCACAUCUGUGGUUGGCGUUUCCCAGGGUUCUCAGAGGUGAAUGCAGGGUCAGCCCAAUAUAGCCAAAUAAGGUUCACCAGUGACCUUAGCAACAGCCUUCGCUGCCCAUUGGCUGACACUGCUGCUGCCAGCCAAUGCGGCCUCCUGCAGGCUAGCGCUGAAGCUGGGCUAAAGCUUCCACAUGUGCAGGGAUCCAGCUGCUGCCUGUCAGAAAUCACUGCCCUUUGAAGCAGCACAGAUAGGGAGAGAGCUUUGAGCAAAGGUGUCAAGGCGACAGGACUGCCUGGGUGCCCACGUUUCGGAGUCCACCUAGCCAGCCCUCCACUGACUGAGUCUUCACACAGCACCAGUCUGCUCCCUCGGCUGAUGGCCUUGUCUCAGCUUGCCGAGAUGAGAUGUCCCCUCCCAUGCCCAUCCUGUCCUGGCGACCUUGGAACUCCAUAGUUCCCAUUCCUCCUUCCUGCUCUUUCCUCCUUUGUUUCAAGCCCUCUGCUAAGCUCCCUCUACACAUCCUCUCUUUUAACUCUCUUAGUAAACCUGUGAGUGAAUUAGCCCCAUUUUACAGAUAAGGAAACUGAGUCUAAAGAAGUCAGGUAACUGGCCCUAUGUUGCACCAGUAUGUAGGGAAGCUGCAAUUGGAACCCAGUUUUACAGGUUCAGCCCCCACACUGUUAACUGUUGUACUACAUUGGCAGUCGGCCAAUGUCUCUGUGCCUCAGUACCUUCACCUGUGACCUGGGAUGAUAAUACCUACUUCAGAGGCUUGGGAUGAGGAGGGUAUGGAGUGACUGAUGUGCAGGAAUCCAGUGCAAAGUGGUGGCUUGUCCGGUGGCACAACUUGGCACCUGUAGGCUUUGGUGCCUCCUAGGCAUGCAUGCUCUGUGGGCAGCCUGCACAUUCCUCUCCCACAGAGUGUACUGCUGAAAUCUUGAGGUUUGUGGACAAGACUUCUCUGGGCCUUCCUAGGUGGUUUCCACUUCCUCAUUCCUAGCCUCCUCCCACCCUCACUUAGCUGCAUCACUGAAGUAGAGAGGCUGGAGAAGAGCGUGCUACUGGGAGGCCCCAGCCUCUGGGCACAGAGGGGACGGGAUGGGCAGGCUGGAGGGGACGAGUUCAGAGGACUAAAGGUGGGCCAGUUAAACUGCAAGUGCAGGCAUCCCUCAUUUCCUCUGUCCCUCUAGCGAGUAUCCGUAUCCCGGAUAAUGUUCAGUUGUUAGAGCACUGCUUCCCUGAGGAACAUUUUCAGAAUGGAAAAGGACAUAGGAGUUCCUGUCGUGGCUCACUGUUUAACGAAUCCAACUAAGAACCAUGAGGUUGCAGGUUCGAUCCCUGGCCUUGCUCAGUGGGUUAAGGAUCCAGCAUUACCGUGAGCUGUGGUGUAGGUCACAGACGUGGCUCGGAUCCCAUGUUGCUGUGGCUCUGGCGUAGGCUUGGCAGCUACAGCUCUGAUUAGACCCCUGGCCUGGGAACCUCCAUGUGCCGCAGGUGCGGCCCUAGAAAAGGCAAAAAGACCAAAAAAAAAAAAAAAAAAAAAAAAAAAAUAGGGAGUUCCUGUCGUGGCACAGUGGUUAACGAAUGAAUCCGACUAGGAACCAUGAGGUUGCGGGUUCAAUCCCUGGCCUUGCUCAGGGGGUUAAGGAUCCGGUGUUGCUGUGAGCUGUGGUGUAGGUUGCAGACGCGGCUCGGAUCUCGCAUUGCUGUGGCUGUGGUGUAGGCUGGUGGCUACAGCUCCGAUUCAACCCCUAGCCUGGGAAUCUCCAUAUGCCGUGGGAGCGGCCCAAGAAGUGGCAAAAAGACAAAAAAAAAAAAAAA
ensembl:lncRNA